AUGAACGCUAGCUACAGGCUUAACACAUGCAAGUCGAGGGGCAGCAUGGUCUUAGCUUGCUAAGGCCGAUGGCGACCGGCGCACGGGUGAGUAACACGUAUCCAACCUGCCGUCUACUCUUGGACAGCCUUCUGAAAGGAAGAUUAAUACAAGAUGGCAUCAUGAGUCCGCAUGUUCACAUGAUUAAAGGUAUUCCGGUAGACGAUGGGGGUGCGUUCCAUUAGAUAGUAGGCGGGGUAACGGCCCACCUAGUCUUCGAUGGAUAGGGGUUCUGAGAGGAAGGUCCCCCACAUUGGAACUGAGACACGGUCCAAACUCCUACGGGAGGCAGCAGUGAGGAAUAUUGGUCAAUGGGCGAGAGCCUGAACCAGCCAAGUAGCGUGAAGGAUGACUGCCCUAUGGGUUGUAAACUUCUUUUAUAAAGGAAUAAAGUCGGGUAUGGAUACCCGUUUGCAUGUACUUUAUGAAUAAGGAUCGGCUAACUCCGUGCCAGCAGCCGCGGUAAUACGGAGGAUCCGAGCGUUAUCCGGAUUUAUUGGGUUUAAAGGGAGCGUAGAUGGAUGUUUAAGUCAGUUGUGAAAGUUUGCGGCUCAACCGUAAAAUUGCAGUUGAUACUGGAUAUCUUGAGUGCAGUUGAGGCAGGCGGAAUUCGUGGUGUAGCGGUGAAAUGCUUAGAUAUCACGAAGAACUCCGAUUGCGAAGGCAGCCUGCUAAGCUGCAACUGACAUUGAGGCUCGAAAGUGUGGGUAUCAAACAGGAUUAGAUACCCUGGUAGUCCACACGUUAAACAGAGAAUUACUCGCUGUUUGCGAUAUACGCAAAACGGCCAAGGGAAAAGCGUUAAGUUUUCCACCGGGGGAGUAAGCCCGGCAACGGUGAAACUCAAAGAAAUUGACGGGGGCCCGCACAAGGGGAGGAACAGGUGGUUUAAUUCGAUGAUACGCGAGGGAACCUUACCCGGGCUUAAAUUGCAGAUGAAUUACGGUGAAAGCCGUAAGCCGCAAGGCAUCUGUGAAGGUGCUGCAUGGUUGUCGUCAGCUCGUGCCGUGAGGUGUCGGCUUAAGUGCCAUAACGAGCGCAACCCUUGUUGUCAGUUACUAACAGGUUCCGCUGAGGACUCUGACAAGACUGCCAUCGUAAGAUGUGAGGAAGGUGGGGAUGACGUCAAAUCAGCACGGCCCUUACGUCCGGGGCUACACACGUGUUACAAUGGGGGGUACAGAGGGCCGCUACCACGCGAGUGGAUGCCAAUCCCCAAAACCUCUCUCAGUUCGGACUGGAGUCUGCAACCCGACUCCACGAAGCUGGAUUCGCUAGUAAUCGCGCAUCAGCCACGGCGCGGUGAAUACGUUCCCGGGCCUUGUACACACCGCCCGUCAAGCCAUGGGAGCCGGGGGUACAAGAAGUGCGUAACCGCGAGGAG
rnacentral:rRNA from 1 species